AUACGGAGGGUGCAAGCGUUACUCGGAAUCACUGGGCGUAAAGCGCGCGCAGGCGGCUAUUUAAGUUGGAUGUGAAAGCCUACGGCUCAACCGUAGAACUGCAUCCAAAACUAUUUAGCUAGAGUGUGGGAGAGGAAGAUGGAAUUAGUUGUGUAGGGGUAAAAUCCGUAGAGAUAACUAGGAAUACCAAAAGCGAAGGCAAUCUUCUGGAACACUACUGACGCUGAGGCGCGAAAGCGUGGGUAGCAAACGGGAUUAGAAACCCUAGUAGUCC
rnacentral:rRNA from 1 species